UUAAAGGUGCUCUACAGUCCGUAUGUAAACAAAGCCUUUGUUUACAUUUUUGUGUCCAAAAUAUUGAGCUUUAUUCGACAACUAUUUAUGUUUUCAAGCUUCUAGAGUAUAAUAAAUGAUCAAGAAACAAUAAUCAGGCUUUUCAAGAACCCAAAACAUAGUUAAACUGUUUGUAUCAUAAAAAGUGGGCUCCUUUGUGCACAUGCGCAGAUCGGACUGUAGAUCACCUUUAAUAUUUGUAUUUCUAAUGAUAAUUACUUGCACAUAUCCAUCACACCUCUCUGUUACUAUUAAACUUAUUACUAUCAUGCAAGUAAAAUCUCUUGGGAAAAAUAAAAUGUUGUCCCAGGAUAGUCAUAAAUAUCAGCUAGUAAAACUAAUGAAUAUACCUAUAAUCAUGUACAUAUGACUAUCAUAUAAUAUGUUGUAAUUCCUUUAAGUGUUUCCAAUUAAAUAAAUAUGUAUUUUCAGUUGUUCAUUCUUCAAACUAAUUUGAAACCUACAGUAUAUGUAGUUGCUAUGAUUCAGAUUAAUAUCCAAAAGUGUGCCUUUUACUUCAGUUAGACUCCUCCCUAAUACAGACACUUUAUUGUGCCACUCCAAUGUUCAUUCAAAGUGAUCCAACUGACAUCUGAGCUGGUGAUAAUAUACAGCAAAGUAUUGGAAGUAGGAGUAUAUCAGAUAAGUUGUUCAUUCAGUCAAGACCUUCAGGUUGUGCUGAUCAUCAUAUCAAACUCCAUCACAUAUUGUGCCUUAAAAACAUAUAUACAAAUUUUAAAAGUUG